AUUGAACGCUGGCGGCAUGCCUUACACAUGCAAGUCGAACGGUAACAGGUUAAGCUGACGAGUGGCGAACGGGUGAGUAAUGUAUCGGAACGUGCCCAGUCGUGGGGGAUAACUGCUCGAAAGAGCAGCUAAUACCGCACACGACCUGAUGGUGAAAGCGGGGGAUCGCAAGACCUCGCGCGAUUGGAGCGGCCGAUAUCAGAUUAGGUAGUUGGUGAGGUAAAGGCUCACCAAGCCGACGAUCUGUAGCUGGUCUGAGAGGACGACCAGCCACACUGGGACUGAGACACGGCCCAGACUCCUACGGGAGGCAGCAGUGGGGAAUUUUGGACAAUGGGCGCAAGCCUGAUCCAGCCAUGCCGCGUGCGGGAAGAAGGCCUUCGGGUUGUAAACCGCUUUUGUCAGGGAAGAAAAGGUUCUGGCUAAUACCUGGGACUCAUGACGGUACCUGAAGAAUAAGCACCGGCUAACUACGUG
rnacentral:rRNA from 1 species